rnacentral:rRNA from 1 species
GACGAACGCUGGCGGUGUGCUUAACACAUGCAAGUGGAGCGACGAACCAGGGCUUGCCCUGGGGCAGAGCCGCGAACGGGUGAGUAACACGUGGGUAACCUACCCCGAUGACUGGGACAA